AGCGGCAAAGCUCAAAUUUGAAAUCUGGUACCUUUGGUGCCCGAGUUGUAAUUUGGAGAGUACCACUUUGGGACUGUACUUUGCCUAUGUUCCUUGGAACAGGACGUCAUGGAGGGUGAGAAUCCCGUGUGGCGAGGGUGUCAGUUCUUUGUAAAGGGUGCUCGAAGAGUCGAGUUGUUUGGGAAUGCAGCUCUAAGUGGGUGGUAAAUUCCAUCUAAAGCUAAAUACAGGCGAGAGACCGAUAGCGAACAAGUACAGUGAUGGAAAGAUGAAAAGAACUUUGAAAAGAGAGUGAAAAAGUACGUGAAAUUGUUGAAAGGGAAGGGCAUUUGAUCAGACAUGGUGUUUUGCGCCCCUUGCCUCUCGUGGGCUUGGGACUCUCGCAGCUCACUGGGCCAGCAUCGGUUUUGGCGGCCGGAAAAAACCUAGGGAAUGUGGCUCUGCGCCUCGGUGUAGAGUGUUAUAGCCCUGGGGAAUACGGCCAGCCGGGACCGAGGACUGCGAUACUUGUUAUCUAGGAUGCUGGCAUAAUGGUUAUAUGC
rnacentral:rRNA from 1 species